rnacentral:lncRNA from 1 species
AGAAACUCUGCCAAGGACAAUUCCCUGAAGGAGCAGUUCUCUUACACCUGGGCAGGUCCAUUUGUGCUUUGUAGUUUUUCUUCAGAGGAUUGAGAUUGUGAAUAGCAUCUCAGAGCAAGCUGCACAUUGAUGUUGGCAUCCUACAGCUAAGGAAGCAGAUCUGUGUGAGCACAUGGGGAGAAGGUGCUGCCAUGAACAUAGAAGCUUGGUUCUGAAGAUCAACUUGGGUUGGUGUCUGAAGUCUCUGCUUUGCUCAGCUACACACAGAGUCUUCAUUGGUGGAAAUCAUUGGUCCUGUUUGCUUUUCUUUUUCUUUC